rnacentral:tRNA from 1 species
GUCAAGAUGGCCGAGUUGGUCUAAGGCGCCAGUUUGGCAAAUUUCAUUGGCAUGGGUUCGAAUCCCAUUCUUGACA